rnacentral:rRNA from 1 species
UACGGAGGAUCCGAGCGUUAUCCGGAUUUAUUGGGUUUAAAGGGUGCGCAGGCUGACCGGUAAGUCAGAGGUGAAAAUCUACGGCUCAACUGUAGACGUGCCUUAGAUACUGUCGGACUAGAGUUAAGUUGGAGUGGGCGGAAUGUGUUGUGUAGCGGUGAAAUGCAUAGAUAUAACACAGAACACCGAUCGCGAAGGCAGCUCACUAAACUUAAACUGACGCUCAUGCACGAAAGCGUGGGGAU